CCUACGGGAGGCAGCAGUGAGGAAUAUUGGUCAAUGGGCGAGAGCCUGAACCAGCCAAGCCGCGUGAAGGAUGAAGGAUCUAUGGGUUGUAAACUUCUUUUAUAUGGGGAUAAAGUGAGGAACGUGUUCCUUUUUGUAGGUACCAUAUGAAUAAGCAUCGGCUAACUCCGUGCCAGCAGCCGCGGUAAUACGGAGGAUGCGAGCGUUAUCCGGAUUUAUUGGGUUUAAAGGGUGCGUAGGGGGUUCAUUAAGUCAGCGGUGAAAGUUUGUGGCUCAACCAUGGAACUGCCGUUGAAACUGGUUGACUUGAGUGUAGUGGAGGUAGGCGGAAUGCGUGGUGUAGCGGUGAAAUGCAUAGAUAUCACGCAGAACUCCGAUUGCGAAGGCAGCUUACUAAACUAUAACUGACGCUGAGGCACGAAAGCGUGGGGAUCAAACAGGAUUAGAUACCCGAGUAGUC
rnacentral:rRNA from 1 species